GGGCAGUUAGCUCAGUUGGGAGAGCAUCGCCUUCACACGGCGGGGGCCACAGGUUCAAGUCCUGUACUGCCCACCA
rnacentral:tRNA from 1 species